AAUCAUUUCCGAUGUGUGAUCACGUUUUGCCGCUUGGGGCCGAUGUGGUGCUAGAUAUAUAAUGCAAGUAACAGCAUGUUUCUGUCCCCUCCCCUGACACCAACCUGCCCCCCUUUGCCUUUCAGGCGCUCCCAUUUCUGACAGUAGCAUUGACAAGGAUUUACAGAGCAGAGAGAAUCACUCCUGUGAAGUUAAAUUCGUGCUGUUCACACAGCGCCUGCUCAGAAAAACAGCAUUAAUUGUUCAGACACCUUUUAUAGGAUAGAAUUCUUGCCUUCCCUAAACGGGAGCUAGUUGACACGGACGGAGACAAAUUAAUUCUUGCGGGAUUAAGAGAUUAGAGGUGUUUAGACAAAGAAUCAUUAACCCAAGGAUGCCUCCAGCUUGGCUGUCCGCUGUUAUCGUCACAGCUAUUCUAAAAGGCACCUAUGGAGCAGACUCAGUGACCCAAACUGAAGGCAGCGUUAUUGUCUCCCAAGGGGAACCUGUGCGUCUGAAUUGUACCUAUCAAAUUUCUGUCACUCCUUAUCCCCUCUGGUACGUACAGUUCCCCAGCCAGGCCCUCACACUAUUCGUGAGGGACGUGGGACGGGAGGACUCGGAUGAAGGGAUCAGAAGAGGGUUCAAUGCCACCCACGAUAAAAAGAACAAAUCCUUCCACCUGUGGAAACCGUCCAGCGAACUGAGCGACUCCGGGACCUAUUACUGCGCCGCGAGCAGCACAGUGACACGGACCAGCAGGGGAGCUGAGCACAAACCGCGCCGGGUCUGUACGGAGCAGAGGGGAAGCGAGCACCGGGAAGGAAAGGGAGGAAUGGUACAAACACAGAACUUGGAUCUCUGUUCACCGUCUAGCUCUGGGCUUCACCGGCUUGAUCCAAUCCAGCGCUUCAUCUGUUGGAGACACUACACGGAAUAG